rnacentral:rRNA from 1 species
GAUGAACGCUGGCGGCGUGCUUAACACAUGCAAGUCGAGGGAAGCAUAUUUGGAAUUAGUUUUCGGAUUAAGGAAGGAUAUGACUGACCGGCGGACGGGUGAGUAACGCGUGGGUAACCUGCCUCAUACAGGGGGAUAACAGUUAGAAAUAGCUGCUAAUACCGCAUAAGACCACAGCGCUGCAUAGCGCAGUGGUAAAAACUCCGGUGGUAUGAGAUGGACCCGCGUCUGAUUAGCUAGUUGGUAAGGUAACGGCUUACCAAGGCGACGAUCAGUAGCCGGCCUGAGAGGGCGACCGGCCACAUUGGGACUGAGACACGGCCCAAACUCCUACGGGAGGCAGCAGUGGGGAAUAUUGCACAAUGGGGGAAACCCUGAUGCAGCGACGCCGCGUGAAGGACGACGUAUUUCGGUAUGUAAACUUCUAUCAGCAGGGAAGAAACUGACGGUACCUGACUAAGAAGCCCCGGCUAACUACGUGCCAGCAGCCGCGGUAAUACGUAGGGGGCAAGCGUUAUCCGGAUUUACUGGGUGUAAAGGGAGCGUAGACGGCUUGGCAAGUCUGAUGUGAAACCCUAAGGCUCAACCUUAGGCAUGCAUUGGAAACUGCUUGGCUGGAGUAUCGGAGAGGCAAGUGGAAUUCCUAGUGUAGCGGUGAAAUGCGUAGAUAUUAGGAGGAACACCAGUGGCGAAGGCGACUUGCUGGACGAUUACUGACGUUGAGGCUCGAAAGCGUGG